CCAGGCCUUCUCCUUCUGCACAGCAGGGCGCUGGGCAGCCGGCGAGCCAGUGGCAAGAGACGGCGCAGGGCUGCAGGCGGCCUGGCGGAGGCAGAUCAGGCAGUUCAGUCGGGUCAGCCCAGCCGUGGCUGAUGCAGUUGUCACAGCCUUCCCCUCCCCCCGCCUUCUGCAGCAGGCGCUGGAGGCCUGCAGCACGGAGCGGGAGCGCAUGGGCCUCCUGGCCGACCUUCCUGUGCCGCCCAGUGAAGGCGGGCGUCCCCGCAGGGUGGGGCCUGACCUCUCCCGCCGCAUCUGCCUCUUCCUGACCACAGCCAACCCUGAUCUCCUGCUGGACCUGGGCUCCUGACCACACGUGGGACCACCAGGACAGCAUGCAGCCUUGGGGACAGACCAGACACCCUGGGCGGUGGGGGAGGACCCCCAGCCACAUGUGGACCCUCAGCCUGGCCUCCCACAAGACCUGGGGCUCAGGGCAGCCGCUUCCCCACCCAGCACAGCAGCAGAGGGGCCCUAGAGCCCCCACAGAAAGGACUGUCCCAGCCUCGGGAG
rnacentral:lncRNA from 1 species